UACUUUUCAGGAGCAACACUUGGCCGGAAGCCGGGAAACCGAGGGGGCCGGGACACUGGCGAGCCGCUGCCCACCUUCCGGUCCAGCCCGGGGCUCAGUGCUGCGGCGCGUGCGCUCUGCCAGACCCCCCUCCCCCGACACACACUUGGCGCGCAUCUCAUGCACCCAGGGCUCGCCUCAUGGGGGGCGGAGCCGGGUCUUCCUCAUCUCCUCCAACAGAUUCUGUGCUGCGGGAACUGGGAGCCCACGCUGCUCAGGAGCUGGGAAGCCACGGAGCCGCCGACUCGGGCCUUGCCUGGACGCCGUGAGAGCCCGGAAGCCCGGCUCGUCCUGCGGAGCCGGCUGAGGGCCAAACACCCCCGCCUCCCAAGUCAAGGAGGCCAAGGCUCAGAAAGGAAAAGAACAAGAGCAGAGCCAUCCAACUGGGGCAGGCUUGGAAUGGACAGAACCAUUUGGUUUGGUUUCAAGACUAAUACCCUUAGCCACCGUUCUUCCCUGCCUCCAAGUGACACCCCCAAAGAACUGUCCUGGCACCACCUCCUGGGGAGCAGCAGCCCAUCCCUCAUCGGCAGCUCCAACCGUCCACAGAAAGGGGGGAGAACAGGAAGAGCCGGAAGUCUCACGGUGGCAGAUCCUGUGAAUAUGGAUGAGGACACAGUGGCAUGUUUACAUGAGCUGCCUUUCCUUUGGAAGACACUUGGCAACAUCAUGUACCAUAUUUUUGAUCAUACCUCAUAAAGACAUGCAGGAAGAGAGGACUUCCAGAAGAGAUUUAGAAAGUGGCAGAAGGAUAGGCUAAGGAGGGAGGAGGAUUAUGAGGGGGACUCAUGGGAAAUGUGUCUUUUUCUGUAAUAAUUGAAAACAACUGUAACAUUCAUUGCCUAGUUCAGUCACACCUCAUGUGCUGUUUUCUCCUCCGCACUGACUUUCACAUCCCCAUGCCCACUGUUCCUUCACCUUCAAGG
rnacentral:lncRNA from 1 species